GCCAAUGUGGCUUAGUGAUUUGGGCACUGGACUAUGACUCUGGAGACCAGGGUUCAAUUCUCCAGUCUGCCA